GUCCCGGGGUUAGCCGAUGAAAAGAUAAGAGGCAGACGGUUUCAAGGCGCUCCAAAAGGCGGACCCUUAUAUGGCCCAGGAGUCAUUUGUGUGUCAGGCGUGAAGUGAAGGCACUUCGGCAAGCGGGGAGAAAUAGUCCUAUUUAUAUUAUUAAAAAAACACACACGGUAGGAUUCUCUUUAAUGUAAUAACAUGUCACAGACUCCAGGGGGAUAUAAAAAAAAAAAAAAAAAAACAGGACGGUGGGGCGCUAACUACGAAUCACUAGGCGGAUUAAAGCGAGCAUUUAAUGCUCAAGGGGAAAAAGUAGGAGAAUAUGGAAGAAUUGGAUCAACUAGCAAGAGUGAUAAAUGCUGAGGAGAGAUGGGUUGUUUCUUUAGAAACACACCAGGUCCUACAAUGAGGGUUUGUCCUUGGCCAGAGAAGCAUGUCUGAUUGACACACACGCUUCCGGCUGUCAUCCACAACCAACAGCCAAAAUUGGAUUUUUUUUUCUGCUUUUCUGUCAUUGUCACCAGUGCCGUAGUCAUGGCAAAGUAGAUCAUUAAAAAUAUCUAAUAUAUUGAGAUAUAAACCAUUAUUAUUAUUAUUAUCAUUAGUAUUAUUAUGCUCUGUGUGUGUAUAUAUAUAUAAUAUAUAUAUAUAUAUAUAAAUAUGUGCAACAGGCAAAUCACCUUUCUAGCCUAUUCAAUUAUUCACAGAUCAUUUUAAAAAUAAACAUUAUUUAAAAAAAAAUCAAAAAUAAUCCAUAUAAUCCAUCUAUCAAUAAUUUACGAUCAAUUAAGUUUAAUUCAUUGCAUUUUUGAUAAAAGAUCCAUGGUGUGGUUGUUGCUGUCUCAUCGUAUUAUACACAGUCAGAAAAAAAAUACUGUAAUCUGUUUUACUUUUAAUUUGUGCACAUUUAAUAUAACAGGAAUUAAUUAACAUAUAUAAUUUCUAGAUGAAAUAUACAUGCUAAAUGUACUAACAGCGUAUGCUUCAGAAGACCACCUCAAUGACGAAGAAAAAUAGUACAAGGUUUUUUGUUUUUUUUCCUGACACGACCUCAAUGGCAUUAAAAUAACACUAGAAAAGAAAAUGAGUAAAUGUUCAUGUAUGGUAUACAAAACAAGUUAUUUCCUGCAGAUUAAUGUAACCUGUGCCCUGUAUAGAUAAAUGGCUGAUACUUGUAAUCAUUAGUCCUUAAAUAAGCACUACAUAAUAUUAUUUUCUGCAUAUGUCUAAAGUUUUGAUGCUGCAAAAAAUGUGUUGACUCUACAAUUUGGGCUCACUUGUGCCAGCUUAUACUUAAUUGUUUAAUCAUAAAUUUUCAUAAUAAGUCAGAAAAUCUGUGACAAGCUGAGAACAGCAAACCAAGCAGCAACCUCAGCUGAGUCAUAUGAUCCAUUUGGAAAAAGAAUCCAUAUAAUCUGUAUGAAUAAUUUAAAAUGACCGUGCCUUGACAGGUUUAGAUCGGUAGCCAUUUUGAGCUGCCAUAAUUGAAAACGCUGAAAGACAGGAGAUUAGCUGAACUUUUGAGGUCAUUUGUUCUUAAUGUUUAGUUAAAAAGGCUAGUAAAUUAUGUAGCUUUUUUUUUCAUAGUAGAUGAUAUAGUUUAGCUUUGCCAAGUAGUUUUAACAUAGUUUCAUGUGGUUUCUUUUGUGCAAAUGUUUUAUUAUAUUAAUUCAAAAAGUAUUCUAUACUAAGGAUAGUCUUGCAUGCUUACCAACAGCAGGAUGAACUGAAAUUCAAACAGUGAAAUGAAAUGAUCAAUAAAAACAGUUCUCUCUCCUCUCUCAUGGCAUGUAAAUUCUUGGAGAAUACUCAGUUGUAAAGCAUUCUAUUGUGUCUGUCUAUAUUCAUAAAACACAACCACCACUGCAAAUUUUCUAAUAUCUGUGUUUUAGUAUAUCCCAAUCCCUAUAAAUGAUGUUCAUCAUCCUUUAAGCCAGGGUUUCUCAAUCUAGUUGCACACAGGAACCCCUUCAAUUUCAAAAUAAAUUACAGCCACUCCAUCAGUAUAGGUUUAAUUCAUGAACAUAAUCCAACUACUCAACGAUUAAGCUCUUUAUUCCAUUGUGUACUGUAAUGUUCUGCAUAUUUGCUGCACAAAGCCACAGAGCUUGUUAUUCCAGAACUUUCCACUGUCUGAACGCAUGAGGGGCAAGUUGACGUGAUGUUUUUGAGUUACUUAGGAUUUGGUUCAAGCGAUCAAACAGGAGAUAAGGACUCAAAAAUAAUGAAUGAUAACUUUGGAUAAUGGUGGUUUGUGAUUUCUGAUACUCUGCUGGUGAGGAACUCUACUUUAAGAAUGACAGCUUUAAAGAAGGAUGUGACACGAAGCCAAAGGCAGUCCAGAGGAAAGAGAACAAUACACGGAGAAACAAGCAGAGCCUCAUGCUCAUUAGCCUGCUUCAUCAGCCAGAGACUGAAAGAGAGAGUGGAGCGACAGAAAUAUAGAGGGAUCUGGGGGAGCAAACAAUACGCUGAUAGAUGGUGUAAAGGAGAAAGAAGGAGCAAUUCGUUGUGUCGGUGUUACGAUGCUCAUGGAACACUGAUGCUUUGUGCUGUUGUAGAACAACCUCUAUUUAAUUGAUGAUAGGCCAGUCAAGUCUGUGUGCAAGCUGUGUUCAUGGUAAACACAAUAUCUUGACUGUCACAGGUAGAAACAUCUGGAAUUCUUCAUCAAUAACCUUCAUUCAGCAUUGAAGAAACUCUAAAUCCCACAAAACAUUCCAAACACACACCACUGACAGGCAGAUUGAAGAUGUGGAAAGCCUAGAGAACGCCUGAGGAUCUCCUGAAGGACAAACAGCCAGUAUGGACAUCCAUAUGUUUUUUUCUCAAAAGGGUUCCACUGUUAUUCCUUUGUCUGUUUUCUCUUAAAAAGUUUUAUAUUGUUCGAGUCAUAUUUACAUACAUCUACUCUUUCAGUGCUUGGUAGCCUUUCUAUUUAACCACAACCACCACCAAGAUCACCACCAACACCUCUUUUAAAAAAACUAAUAUCAUACGGAAAUAAAGUACCAACUCCUCGGCUCAGGUUAAAAGCCUAUGCCUGUGAUUUAAUUGGAGGAUUUAGUCAGUAAAUGUGAAAGUCUUUCUCUGAAUCUCAGUUCAAGCAAAAUGAUGAAAGCAUCUCAUCUUAAAUCAAUUUCAUUACCUCCAUCUUAAGGUUUUAAUCCUCUCAGUGAUUUAAAAAAAAAACCUUAAUAAAAAACAGCCCCAUUAAGCACCCAAGCAGUGCAAUUUUAUUAAUUGUUAAAUAACACACCUUAAACCAGUGAAAUGAACAGUUUAUCAUUCAAUUUACAAGAAAUUAAAAGUAGCCAGUAGAACAUUUUUAACUAAAUGGAGAUUUUAUAUUUCGCCUUAUACACUUAUGUAUAAGCGGAUACAGUAUAUAUACACUGUAUAUGUGUGUGUGCACAUGCUCUCAUGCGUAAAUACAAAAUAUAUGGUAGAUUACAAUAAACCUGUGCAUUUAGUAGUAGUAUAAUUCAUUUCUUCAUUUUAAUCACUAAUAACAUGUUAUUUGUUUCAGCUAUUCAGCCAUCAUGUUUCACUACACCUAAUCACUGUGAUAGAAAUAGCAUACACACAUGAUGCAAGAGUAAUACAUACGUAUAGCUAAAAAAAAACGAUUUUUGAUUAUUCUAAUAAGGUCAAUGGCUGGAUAUUGUUAAGAAAUUGGUUUUAUUACUUUUUCUAUUUUAGGUCUGGUCAGGGCCACUAUUUAAUGUCCAGUGUUGCAGCAUGAUUUAAAAAAAAAGGACAAAAAUUGGAAAGGUUGAAUUUUUGGGAAUUUUUUUUUUUUUAAAAAACAAUGCAGUCUGUGUGUUUACUACUUCUGGGAACAUGACAAUGAUCAUUUAAAAAAAAAAUCAUGGCUCAGAGCCUUUGACUAGCUUUAGAAAAGCUGACAAAUACAGAAAAACAAUAAGUAUCUUCCUGGAACAUUCUCGCUCAUGCAUACACAGCAACACAAUGAUGUGCAGUUUGGGGAACAAAGCAUUCAAAU